AUUGAACGCUGGCGGCAUGCCUUACACAUGCAAGUCGAACGGUAACAGGUCUUCGGAUGCUGACGAGUGGCGAACGGGUGAGUAAUACAUCGGAACGUGCCCGAUCGUGGGGGAUAACGCAGCGAAAGCUGUGCUAAUACCGCAUACGAUCUACGGAUGAAAGCGGGGGAUCGCAAGACCUCGCGCGGACGGAGCGGCCGAUGGCAGAUUAGGUAGUUGGUGGGAUAAAAGCUUACCAAGCCGACGAUCUGUAGCUGGUCUGAGAGGACGACCAGCCACACUGGGACUGAGACACGGCCCAGACUCCUACGGGAGGCAGCAGUGGGGAAUUUUGGACAAUGGGCGAAAGCCUGAUCCAGCCAUUCCGCGUGCAGGAUGAAGGCCCUCGGGUUGUAAACUGCUUUUGUACAGAACGAAAAAGCUCUGGCUAAUACCUGGAGUCCAUGACGGUACUGUAAGAAUAAGCACCGGCUAA
rnacentral:rRNA from 1 species